rnacentral:rRNA from 1 species
UACGAGGGGUGCAAACGUUAUUCGGAUUUAUUGGGCGUAAAGGGUGUGUAGACGGUUUAUUAAGUUCGUUGUUAAAUCUUUCGGCCCAACCGGAAGCUUGCGGUGAAAACUGAUAGACUAGAGGAUGAAAGAGAGGAGUGGAAUUCUCGGAGUAGCGGUAAAAUGCGUAGAUCUCGAGAGGAACACCGAUGGCGAAAGCAGCUCCUUGGUUCAUUUCCUGACGUUGAAACACGAAAGCGUGGGGAGCAAACAGG